GCCUCGGUAGUUUAGUGGUUAUAAUUUUUCACUUGUAAUGAAAGGGUCCUGUGUUCGACUCACAGCCGUGGCA